rnacentral:miRNA from 1 species
UGCAUGUGUGUGUGUGUGUGUGUGUGCACGCGCGCACACACACACACACAUGUG